UCCAUUAAUAAAUAUGAUUAAGUACCUCCUAUGUGCCAGGUACUGUGCUAUGUGCUUGGUUCCUGCUCUCAAGGAGCUCCCAAUCUAAAGUGGGGGGGAUGAUAUGCAAAAAAUGAUGGAAGAUCAAGCUAGGAAAAACUGGAGAUUGGAGGAAAUUUCUCAGUAUACUUUAAAGCACUAGGGAAAGGGGAGCUAUUAGUCUUGUUAUCUUUCCCUAGCCACCUUUCUUUCCUUCUCCUCAGAAAAGCAAGACAGUCAAGGAUUGUAGUGGCAGGCUGAUGAUGCAAGAAUGCAGCUGAAAAUGACUAUGCAGUUAGCAAAUGCCUAGGAUUAUGACAGCUCUAUUAUUAAAUUGUCAGAGGUGCCAAUGAGGCUGCUCAUCUGCUGUCAGUUCUGAAUUUGAACGCUUUGGCUACACUUUAACUAGGGAACCUUAACUAAGGUGGGUCCAUGGGGGCUUUCCCUCAGGGAAAGACUUUUAAAGGAUGUCAACAUUUCAGAAUAUGCUUUCUUCUUCUAGUAGCUGUAUAUUCAGUCUUCAUCUCCCUACUGAAAUUUUGAAAAGUCCCUGGGUAGGGUUCCCUUGAGGAGUCUUCCUCAUCAAUUGCACUCCAGAAGAGGAAGACUACUACUUCUUCCUUUCCUCAGCUAAUUUGACAGAUGAAGAAACCAAGGCAAAAAGGCUUCUGUGAUUCAGGGAGGUCCAGAAAAGAACAAUGACCUUCCCAAAGCCACAUGCAGACUGAGGAGCAACACCAGACCUAGUCCUCCAGUUUUCUUCUACCCACCAGGGACCGUGCCAGGGGAGUUGCCAGAAUGUCAGCCACAGAAAUCAGAGGAAAAGAGAUAACAUGACAGCAGGGUGAUUUUCCUAUUACCUCUUCCUUUUCUGUUCUUUUCAUAUCACCUCUUACUUUUAAAUCAACCUAACUCAACAGUAACCAUGGCACCCUAACUAUUACAUUCAAGUAAACCUUUUUAUUCAUGUG